UACGUAGGGGGCUAGCGUUAUCCGGAAUUACUGGGCGUAAAGGGUGCGUAGGUGGUUUCUUAAGUCAGAGGUGAAAGGCUACGGCUCAACCGUAGUAAGCCUUUGAAACUGAGAAACUUGAGUGCAGGAGAGGAGAGUAGAAUUCCUAGUGUAGCGGUGAAAUGCGUAGAUAUUAGGAGGAAUACCAGUUGCGAAGGCGGCUCUCUGGACUGUAACUGACACUGAGGCACGAAAGCGUGGGGAGCAAACGGGAUUGGAUACCCUGGUAGUCCCUGAGCGGG
rnacentral:rRNA from 1 species